rnacentral:lncRNA from 10 species
CUCUGUUCACGGAAAGGGCCUGGGAGCUGCAACACCUCAACAGCAACAAGCACACCUGCUACCUAGAACUUGGUUUCUAAAAACCAUCCUCCUCUAAAAGGAAACAGAGCUCUUUGAAGAAACGCAGAAGGUAAGCAUGAGCAAAUUACUUUUUAGAGGUAACUUUGCUGAACUUGUGAAGAAUGGUGUGCAAGGUCCAGAGCGACUGCAGGAGAGGGAAGGUGGGAUUCCCACAGAGCAGGAGCACAGAUAAGCCAAGCAAGGCCCUGCUUGGAAGGCAGCAAUCAACAGAGAUGCACAGACCUGUGAGGGUGCCGGGACAGCCAUGCAACAAUGCAGCCCUUUUGCUUCCUGAGCUCACCAGUUCCCUCGCUCCACCUCUGAGAGGUGGUUUGGAGAAACACAGCCCUUCUCAAGAGGGCUGCAAGCUACUUAAGUCCUGAAAAUUUCCACAAGGCUGAGUCAAAUCUGCGUUUCAUCAUCUAUAAGAAAGGUACCUAUCGAGAACACCCUGCUGGCCAGUGUGUAAAUAUCUAAAGGAGGACUCAGAAAACACCGGGGAAGUCCAGCCUGCACGUGGUGGCUGGGCUUCAGUGAAGCAUGCAGCACAACAGGAGUUGUAAGUAGUAGUUACAUCAGCAGCCCUGGAAAUUCUGCUCAGAACCAAACUGAACAAAUAACAUUAUCUAAGGCUUACAAUUAUUUAACUCCCUAAAUUUUCUGUCCUCCCAGUAGCACUUUCAAAUGCCUAAAAGCAAUUAAAAGAAACAUUUUUCCAAU